rnacentral:rRNA from 1 species
CCUACGGGAGGCUGCAGUGGGGAAUAUUGGACAAUGGGCGAAAGCCUGAUCCAGCCAUGCCGCGUGUGUGAAGAAGGCCUUCGGGUUGUAAAGCACUUUCAGUGGGGAAGAAAGCCUUGGGGCUAAUACCCUCGAGGAAGGACAUCACCCACAGAAGAAGCACCGGCUAACUCCGUGCCAGCAGCCGCGGUAAUACGGAGGGUGCGAGCGUUAAUCGGAAUUACUGGGCGUAAAGCGCGCGUAGGCGGUCUGAUAAGCCGGUUGUGAAAGCCCCGGGCUCAACCUGGGAACGGCAUCCGGAACUGUCAGGCUAGAGUGCAGGAGAGGAAGGUAGAAUUCCCGGUGUAGCGGUGAAAUGCGUAGAGAUCGGGAGGAAUACCAGUGGCGAAAGCGGCCUUCUGGACUGACACUGACGCUGAGGUGCGAAAGCGUGGGUAGCAAACAGGAUUAGAUACCCGUGUAGUC